rnacentral:rRNA from 1 species
UACGUAGGGCGCAAGCGUUGUCCGGAAUUAUUGGGCGUAAAGAGCUCGUAGGCGGUUUGUCGCGUCUGCUGUGAAAACCCGAGGCUCAACCUCGGGCCUGCAGUGGGUACGGGCAGACUAGAGUGUGGUAGGGGGAGACUGGAAUUCCUGGUGUAGCGGUGGAAUGCGCAGAUAUCAGGAGGAACACCUGCGGUGUAGACGGCUUACUGGGACGGUAACUGACGCUGAGGCACGAAAGCGUGGGUAGCAAACAGG